rnacentral:lncRNA from 13 species
AAAGAAAACCCUCACCCGAUGCUGGCCACUUGAUCUUGGACUGCCGAGUCCCCAGACUGUGAGAAAUUAAUUUCUCCUAUUUAUAAAUUGCCCUCUUUAUAACAAGUAUCUUGUUAUAGCAGCACAAAGCAGACUAAGACACCCAUACCCAUCCUGAUACUCAUUAUUAGAACAUUAAGCGUGUUUGUAUAUCCUGGUAAGCUAUUACAAUUCUUUUUAUUUUAUUUUAUUUUAUUUUGAGACAGGGUCUCACUCUGUUGCCCAGGCUGGAGUGCAGUGGUGCGAUUACAUCUCACUACAGCCUGAUCACCUGGCUCAAGUGAUCCUCCAACCUCAACUUUCUGAGUAGCUGAGACCACAGGCAUGUGCCACCAUAUUUUUUUAUUUUAUUUUUUGUUGAGACAGGGUCUCACUAUGUUGCCCAGGAUGGUCUCAAACUUCUGGUCUCAGCCUCCCAAAGUGUGGGAUUAGAGGCAUGAGCCACCGUGCCCGGCAAAAUGAUCAUUUUAAAGAUGAAGAAACGGAGGCACACACAUCGAUGCCUAUAUACACACACUCCCCGGAUUGGGAAACAGCCUGGUUCAUGCUCCGCAGUCCUGGGAAAGCUGGCCUGGCACAAAGACAAUGGCUACUGGGAAUGCCUGGCCAACGGCAGCUGGGCUGCCUGUGUGAAUUAAUCUGAGUGCCAGAAGAUCCUCAAUGAGGAGAAAAAGAGCAAGGUGCACUACCAUGUUGCAGUCAUCAUCAACUACCUGGGCCACUGUAUCUCCCUGGUGGCCCUCCUGGUGGCCUUUGUCCUCUUUCUGCGGCUCAGGUGAGAAGACCCCAGCCGUGCCUCCUCCUGUCCCCAGGCCCUAGAGCAGGGGCAGGGUGGAGAAGUGAGAGACAGGAGCAGCUCUGGGUUGGGGUGGGGUUGCUGGGAGGGGGUGCAGGGGCUGGCUUAUCCAGGAGGCUCAGGUCUCUGGGAACGUCUGGCAGAGCCGCUCUUCCCCCUCCCCAGUAGCUGCUAGAAUGGUGGGGAGGGACAAAGUUUGUCUUGUGUCACCCACACCCAGGCUGGGCUGCUCCCACUGGGGUGACCAGGCUGAUGGAGCCCUAGAGGUGGAGGCUUCAUGGAGUGGUGCCCCCUUUUCAGGUUCAAAGGUGCCUGGGCCCCAGCGCUACUGCCAAGGAUGCAGGUGGCAGAGCUAGGGAUGGGGACAGGUGGGAUCGGGAGCCGAGCAUCAGGGCUGGAGGCUGGGAGCAGGGCUAACCCCUGUGACUGUCCAUCCUGGAAUGGCAGGGA